rnacentral:rRNA from 1 species
CAGUAGCCACGGUAAUACGUAGGGUGCGAGCGUUAAUCGGAAUUACUGGGCGUAAAGCGGGCGCAGACGGUUACUUAAGCAGGAUGUGAAAUCCCCGGGCUCAACCUGGGAACUGCGUUCUGAACUGGGUGACUAGAGUGUGUCAGAGGGAGGUAGAAUUCCACGUGUAGCAGUGAAAUGCGUAGAGAUGUGGAGGAAUACCGAUGGCGAAGGCAGCCUCCUGGGAUAACACUGACGUUCAUGCCCGAAAGCGUGGGUAGCAAACAGGAUUAGAGACCCCUGUAGUCCCUGUCUCUUAUAC